AGCUACUGCUUUUGGAGAAAAUAAUCAUUGUAAGCACACAUUAACAUGCUGAGGCUGCCCUGAAAAAUCAAUUCAUACAUAUAAUACUGCUGUUUUCAGAGAACAUAUGCAGCGCCCCCUCCUCCGACCUCUGCCCCCGUAAAUUUAGCGGCGCCAAAUGGCCGACGUGACCGUGCGCUCGUCUCUCUUUCCAGGUCAACGGCCUGGACAUGCAGGGGGCGACCCACCACGAGGCAGUCGGUGCCCUCAGGAAUGCAGGAAGCUGCAUCAGGAUGACAGUCCUCAGAGACAGGCUUCCACCUCGAGAGGUGAACCUCUCCGUUGGUCCCUGGGACGAGCGGGACGCCACAGGACAACAGCCGUCAAACCCGGAAGGCCAGACGGCCAAAGCAGCAUUGAUGGAGGGUCGAGAGGGGUGUUUGUCCGAGAGCAUUGAGGCGGUUGUCUGCAAUGGCAACGACGUUCCUGGACGGAAAAAUGAGAUGAAUCAGAUCUCGUCUAAACUGAAAAAAGACUCUUUGCAAGACGGGAAACACACAAUGGGGAUCCCGCGGAUCAUCCUCACUCAUCCCUCUACCUCAGAUGAAGAUGUGGAGCUCUUGACCCAGAGCCCCAGCGCAGAGCAGCCGCAUGACUUUGACAUUCCUGGCAGGUGUGUCUGCUUUGACAACGCUUUCUACCCUCCUUGACCUCAAUUAUGGACUAGAAUCCUACAGAUUCUUUCACUUUCUUUUGGUUUUUUUUUUUUGUAGCGCAAUGCUCUGUCGGGUAAUUCAGUGCUAAUAGCAUCUCACGAUUAAUGUUAUUUUAAAAUGAAAGGAUGAUUUUAGACUUUAUUUUUGCUACUGAAACCACAGAUUUGCCUCUGCAGCUGCACUGAUUAGACAGUAUACACAGACCUUUUCCUCCACAGCUCCAAUAAUGUAUGUGAUUGCGUUAAAUCCAGUCAAUUAAACAAGAAAAGCUGCUGGCUACUUCUGCUACACACCACCUAAGUUAUGAUGUUCCCACUCUUUGUGUAUAUGCCCUUUGAUAAUGUGAAGCUCUCCCAGAUGGCAGACGGAGCACUCAGGAGGUGUCGGGCGAUUUCUGUCACGGGCAACGUUGUGACGAGUGACAUUUAUUUUAAAGGAGACAAGCGCCAAGACUUCAUAAUUUUGUUGAAAACGUGAAUGUCAACGCUUCUCUUGUUCCUACACAUCCUAGAACCCCUCAAAAAACAACUCGCUGUCCACUUUUCUUAAUAAAGUGCUAAUCUACUCUUACCCUUAUUGCCGUUCUCCAGUAUUUAGAUAUUUGCUGGUACAGAGGACAACGCAACAGCAUCCUGCAUUAAUGUGCUGGCU
rnacentral:lncRNA from 1 species